rnacentral:rRNA from 1 species
CCUACGGGAGGCAGCAGUGAGGAAUAUUGGUCAAUGGACGAGAGUCUGAACCAGCCAAGUAGCGUGAAGGAUGACUGCCCUAUGGGUUGUAAACUUCUUUUAUAUGGGAAUAAAAUGUUCCACGUGUGGGAUUUUGUAUGUACCAUAUGAAUAAGGAUCGGCUAACUCCGGGCCAGCAGCCGCGGUAAUAAGGAGGAUCCAAGCGUUAUCCGGAUUGAUUGGGGUUAAAGGGAGCGUAGGUGGAUUGUUAAGUAAGUUGUGAAAGUUUGCGGGUCAACCGUAAAAUUGCAGUUGAAACUGGCAGUCUUGAGUACAGUAGAGGUGGGCGGAAUUCGUGGUGUAGCGGUGAAAUGCUUAGAUAUCACGAAGAACUCCGAUUGCGAAGGCAGCUCACUGGACUGCAACUGACACUGAGGCUCGAAAGUGUGGGUAUCAAACAGGAUUAGAUACCCCAGUAGUC